GGGUUGUUAGCUCAGUUGGUAGAGCAGCCGCCUCUUAAGCGGAAGUGCAUAGGUUCAAACCCUAUACAACCCACCA
rnacentral:tRNA from 2 species